rnacentral:rRNA from 1 species
UACGAAGGGGGCUAGCGUUGUUCGGAUUUACUGGGCGUAAAGCGCACGUAGGCGGAUCGAUCAGUCAGGGGUGAAAUCCCAGAGCUCAACUCUGGAACUGCCUUUGAUACUGUCGAUCUGGAGUAUGGAAGAGGUGAGUGGAAUUCCGAGUGUAGAGGUGAAAUUCGUAGAUAUUGGGAAGAACACCGGUGGCGAAGGCGGCUCACUGGCUCAUUACUGACGCUCAGGCGCGAUAGCGUGGGGAUCAAACAGG